rnacentral:tRNA from 1 species
GGGGUUCUAGCUCAUCGGUAGAGCGCUCGCUUAGCAUCUGGCUCAGCAUCAACUGCGAGAGGUACAGGAUUCGACUCCCUGGUACUCCA